CAUUUUGGGUAUUUUGCCAUUUGCAAGGGAGCUUCUUCGCUGUGUGGUUCAGGUUGUACUUACUGCUAAUGACUUACCCUCCAUCAAUGAUGUGACUUACCCUGAGCUACUUGAAAUCAUAUCAACGUUACCAGUUAAAGGAUGAAGAAGGAGGUCUCAUGGGUGUUAGCACUUCAAAUCUUGUAAUUGCCAACUCUGGAAAUGAUUUACCUGGCAUUGAUCUUAAUAAGGUGUCAUAGG